UCACCUCUGCAGGCUGGCCCGCCCCCAGACUGGGCUGGGUGACUAUAUCUUUGAAAAGCUCACCCUUACGCAUGACUAGAAGC
rnacentral:pre_miRNA from 1 species